rnacentral:rRNA from 1 species
UACGGAGGGUGCGAGCGUUGUUCGGAUUCAUUGGGCGUAAAGGGUGCGUAGGCGGCGCGGUAAGUCCGGUGUGAAAUCUCGGAGCUUAACUCCGAAACUGCAUUCGAUACUGCCGUGCUUGAGGACUGGAGAGGAGACUGGAAUUUACGGUGUAGCGGUGAAAUGCGUAGAUAUCGUAAGGAAGACCAGUGGCGAAGGCGGGUCUCUGGACAGUUCCUGACGCUGAGGCACGAAGGUCAGGGGAGCAAACGGG